GAUGAACGCUGGCGGCGUGCCUAAUACAUGCAAGUCGAGCGAACGGACGAGAAGCUUUCUUCUCUGAUGUUAGCGGCUGACGGGUGAGUAACACGUGGAUAACCUACCUAUAAGACUGGGAUAACUUCGGGAAACCGGAGCUAAUACCGGCUAAUAUUUUGAACCGCAUGGUUCAAAAGUGCUAGACGGUCUUGCUGUCACUUAUAGAUGGAUCCGCGCUGCAUUAGCUAGUUGGUAAGGUAACGGCUUACCAAGGCAACGAUGCAUAGCCGACCUGAGAGGGUGAUCGGCCACACUGGAACUGAGACACGGUCCAGACUCCUACGGGAGGCAGCAGUAGGGAAUAUUCCGCAAUGGGCGAAAGCCUGACGGAGCAACGCCGCGUGAGUGAUGAAGGUCUUCGGAUCGUAAAACUCUGUUAUUAGGGAAGAACAUAUGUGUAAGUAACUGUGCACAUCUUGACGGUACCUAAUCAGAAAGCAACGGCUAACUACGUG
rnacentral:rRNA from 1 species